rnacentral:misc_RNA from 1 species
CUUUUAGACUUUUAGUCUAUAUUUCAUUCCUUAAAAACCAAACCUUGUAAUUAGAAAUGAUAAACUAAGCAGGUCAACAGUGUCCAUUUCAAAGAAUCAGAACUCUUUCAGAAUUAAAGGAGCAUGGUUAGACAUUUUCAUCAACUCAGAGCUAAGAAUAUUAACCCAAAAGGUCAAUAUUACAGCACCGAGCAAUUUUCAGAUGGUGUACACAUUUUUCAAUCACAAAGGUCAAGGCUCAAAUGAAAAACAUCAUCAAUAUUAUCUCCGAUAACUGUUUGCUUGAAUUUAUCACUUAUUACCCACUUUUCUUAGAUGUUAUUAUUCAUCAACUAAUAACAGAGGCAACUUGCAUGAAUGCAGGCAGGCCAAUAAAACAGAAAUGUACACACCUGCUUGUUUCGUGUCCUUUCCUCCUCAUGAAAAGCCAAUU